AACUUUCAACAACGGAUCUCUUGGUUCUCGCGUCGAUGAAGAACGCAGCGAAAUGCGAUAAGUAAUGUGAAUUGCAGAAUUCAGUGAAUCAUCGAAUCUUUGAACGCACCUUGCGCUCCUUGGUAUUCCGAGGAGCAUGCCUGUUUGAGUGUCAUGA
rnacentral:rRNA from 1 species